CUGAAUCAGACUUUUGUUGUUUUAUAAACCUAAUCCCAGAAUUAACCUCAAAAGCCGGCAACUCUUGAGGCAAUCCCAGGGACUUAUAUCCCAACCCAAACCCAACCCCAACCCCGAUGUGGGACAAAUGUACCUAUAGGGGGACCUGCUGCUAAGUGGGAUACUACCACCCAAUACCCUUUCAACCCUGAGGCAAUUUGUAGUUAUCACUCCUCACUGACUGACUCCACACUUGCCGUCCGCUCCGAUCGAUGUCGUCGGCUAUGGCAUGCAUAUUCCGGCGAAGUGUUCGCCGUUGCCCGACCUAUCUUCGAUGUAAAUGUUUGUCAACGACUCCCUCGCGGCGUAAAGAAUCAGAAGAAUGAAAGAAUAGAGAAGAUACUGAUAGCCAACAGGGGAGAAUCGCAUGUCGAAUUAUGAGAACUGCCAAACGAUUGGGGAUUCAAACCGUUGCCGUUUAUAGCGACGCCGAUAAGCACAGUUUGCACGUCAAGUCGCCGACGAAGCCGUGCGUAUAGGUCCCCCCCCCUCGGCUCAGCUACUUAAAGGCGUCCGCCAUUAUCGAAGCUGCAAACAAAACUGGCGCUCAGGCUAUCCACCCAGGUUAUGGUUUCUUAUCAGAAAGUGCUGCAUUUGCUCAACUUUGCGAAGAUAAGGUUUAAUUUUUAUUGGACCUUCUGCAUCUGCAAUUCGAGACAUGGGGAUAAAAGUGCUUCAAAGAGAAUAAUGGGCGCAGCCGCGUCCCACUUGUGCCUGGAU